CUUACCCCCAGUGUUGUGUGCUUUCCUGGUGUUUUGUUCUGUAAUGAUUGGAAUCUCCUUGCUCCAGCACAGUACGCAUGACAACUGUAGCUUUUACCAAUGGCCUUUUCCGUGAGCGCUCCAUUUUAGCAGAGCAUUUUAAAUGGCUUUCAUCUCUGAACAAGGCGACUUAGGAAUUUUUACCUUGGACAAGGACAGGCUAAUUCUAGAGGCUUCAUUCUGGAGCUCAGAUGACCCGUGAAAUAUGUAGGGCACACUUAACCUCACCUUCUCACCGA